UUAUGUCUCUUUGGCUUCUUUAAUCUAGAACUGGCUCCCUAAUUUGUUCAUCUUUCAAGAGAUUAACUUUUUUGGGAAAAGUUCAGGUUGCUUAUUUUGUAGGUCUAACAUUUUAAAUUUGUAUGAUAGUUUUCUCAUAUUAGCUUUGGUUGAAAUACUUUUGGGGAAAAAAGGGGGGGUGAUACCAUUGCAUACUUCAAACUGCAUACCAAGAGAGGCAUAACAUCACUUUGUCCCAUUAUUGGUAAUGUUUUGAGUAACAGCAUGGUUAAAUUGGUGUUUGCUCUAUUUCUCUGUUACAAAGAUAUCCUUACCCCUUGGUAAUUAAUAAGUGAUCUGAUAGUUGAUGUUUUGAGACUUGUGAAUAACUUAUUGCCUAAUAACCCUUCACCCAGCAGCUUUAGCAUUUGUUGAUGAUCCUUGCCUGGACCAGAUAUUACACUGGGAUUGAAAAACAGUGAUUUUUUUUUUUUCUAAUCUAAUCCCUUUCUAUAGAUAAGAAUUUUCUCUUCUUCUUUCUCCUAUUUCUACCUCUCAUCGAGUAUAGUGAUGUACCAUAGAUUCUGUUUUUAUUCAAUGUUUUAUAAUCAUUGUAAUUCAUCCUUUUAACAUGUAUUCAGAGACUACUCUGUACCAAGUACUAAAGUGAGAUUAACCUAACAUUAAUCUUAGUCUCCUUUACCUCCCCCUCUAAGUACUUAAGAAAACUAUCAGUGCAACAUUAACAACUAAUCCAGAUUCUUAAACUGGCCACCACUUAAGCCAACAAAGUUUUGGCAAAGAUAAAGGGAAUCCUUUAUAGAUAGAGAGAGCUGAAAAUGAAGAUGGGAGUGCAGAAUGAUCUCCAAAUUGUAAUUUUUAUUCCCCUUUUGUAAAUCCUAGCCAGGCAACUAUGGUUACAGCAAUCAUCAAAUCAUCAAACAGAAAAGAAAAGAAAAAAAAUCAAAAGAAAAGAAAAAAAAUCAAUUAUCAUCUCUGUGGUGUGAUACUGAAUCUGCCUCAGAGGGAGAGAAUUUCAAGAACUUGGUCUCAGUACAUGGGCUCAGGGUCCACAGGGGGAGAAUCAUAAUUCCUAUUCAGAGCACAAAAUAGGCAUUUAAUGAUCACUCAUGUCAUUAGGAAGAUGGGGGAAAUAUGUCCAUGUCUUUUACAGGUUCUUAAGCCAAUAUCAAGGUAUCAAAGGCCUUGGUCAAGACAGGAGUCCUAGAGCACUUCCCUGCCACAGGUCCUACAUGGGCAGCAUUCUCACCUCCCCAAAAGGAUCUGAAUGAUGAAUUCCAAAUAACUAAUCACCUAAUGAAACAGAAAACAGCUUUCAGUGGAAGGAAAAAGGACCCUAUGUUCCAGGGAAAGAAUAGACUGACCCGUUCUGGUCCAACUGUUUAGUGGAAGGAGCGUUCAGAGCUUAAUGCAG
rnacentral:lncRNA from 1 species